UUGACCUCAAAUCAGGUAGGACUACCCGCUGAACUUAAGCAUAUCAAUAAGCGGAGGAAAAGAAACUAACAAGGAUUCCCCUAGUAACUGCGAGUGAAGCGGGAAAAGCUCAAAUUUGAAAUCUGGCGGUUUUUGACCGUCCGAGUUGUAAUCUAGAGAAGUGUUACCUGUGCUGGACCGUGUAAAAGUCUCCUGGAAUGGAGCAUCAUAGAGGGUGAGAAUCCCGUCUUUGACAUGGACGACCAGUGCGUCGUGGUGCGCUCUCAAAGAGUCGAGUUGUUUGGGAAUGCAGCUCAAAAUGGGUGGUAAAUGCCAUCUAAAGCUAAAUAUUGGCGAGAGACCGAUAGCGAACAAGUACCGUGAGGGAAAGAUGAAAAGCACUUUGGAAAGAGAGUUAAACAGUACGUGAAAUUGCUGAAAGGGAAACGCUUGAAGUCAGUCACGUCGGCUAGAAAUCAGCCUUGCUUCUGCUCGGUGUACUUUCUGGUUGACGGGUCAGCAUCAAUUUCGACCGCUGGACAAAGUCUUUGGGAAUGUGGCAUCCUCGGAUGUGUUAUAGCCCAUCGUCGCAUGCAGUGGUUGGGAUUGAGGAACUCAGCACGCCGCAAGGCCGGGUUUCGACCACGUUCGUGCUUAGGAUGCUGGCAUAAUGGCUUUAAUCGACCCGUC
rnacentral:rRNA from 2 species